rnacentral:misc_RNA from 1 species
AUUAUCGCCGAAAUCGAUCUCUAGAAGCGCCGUCACAGUAUUUACACCACAGAAGGAAAGCGCGAGGGAUAAGAGAGAAAAUUAGGGAGUACUAGUAGAGAAGAAGGGUAAGAAGGUAAAAAUGGCAGCGGAAGCAGCGUUGGCGUUGCCACCGGGAUUCAGGUUCCAUCCAACAGACGAGGAGCUUGUGAUGCACUACCUCUGCCGCAAAUGCGCGUCUCAGUCGAUUGCUGUACCGAUUAUCGCCGAAAUCGAUCUCUACAAGUUCGAUCCGUGGGAUCUCCCAGGUAUGGCCUUGUAUGGGGAAAAGGAGUGGUAUUUCUUUUCACCUAGGGACAGGAAAUACCCAAACGGAUCGAGGCCGAACCGGGCGGCAGGGUCUGGUUACUGGAAGGCUACAGGAGCAGAUAAGCCAAUUGGGCAUCCGAAGCCUCUUGGAAUCAAGAAGGCUUUGGUAUUUUAUGCAGGGAAAGCUCCCAAAGGAGAGAAAACAAAUUGGAUUAUGCACGAGUAUCGGUUAGCCGAUGUGGAUCGCUCGGUUCGCAGGAGUAACAGCUUAAGGGUAUAAUCGCCAUUUUGACCUCCAUUUUCACUUAAAAGUAGGGGUAGUUUCGACAUUCCGUUGCAUGAACAUGAUUCCAAAUUCCGAAAUUCGGACGUCAAGGCCAAAUGACUCUCUUGGCCUCCCUCGAAAGUUAGGGCUGUUAGGGUCGAUCGCAAUUCACAAAACUUCAAAAAAAAAUAAAGUGAUGGUGGUGAUUGUGGUUCGUGAGCAAUUGGGCCCCACCUGAAUGAAUACAAUUGGCUAAUUGCGUUAAGAAAAUGCGAUUAAGAAACAAAUUGUUAAUUAGUGACGCUGACCGAUAUGCUUGUCCCGCUAGGCAACCAUUGCUUUCUCCUUGAGGACAGUUCAUAUUCAUUCUUAUCUCAUUUGCUCAUUUCAAAUUAGAUCAGUUUGAUUUAUUCUUUUUUUUUUUAAAAUUAUGAUUCUGAAUUUUGAUUAUGGUGCACGCGAAGAAUCAUUUACCGAAUCAGCGGUUUUGAUUUUAUUGCAGUUGGAUGAUUGGGUGCUGUGUCGCAUAUACAACAAGAAAGGCACAAUUGGGAAGCAAGGACAAGUAAGCAACCAGAUAUUGAACUCGCCGGAAAUAAUCGAGGAUAAGAAGCCGGAGUUCAUGGCCCCUCCGCCUGCUCCAUCAUCGGCGACGGGAACUGCAAAUGAUUACCUGUACUUUGAUGCGUCCGAUUCAGCACCGAAGUUGCACACGGACUCAAGCUGCUCGGAGCACGUAGUGUCGCCGGAGUUCACGUCCGAGGUACAGAGUGAGCCUAAGUGGAAAGACUGGGGGGACGCAAAUGCCCUGGAUUUCUCAUACAAUUACAUGGAUGCCACCAUGGAAAAAGAGUUCGGGUCACUGUAUCCGGGAAAUAAUCAGAUGUCACCGCUUCAGGAUAUAUUCAUGCACCUAGCGAAGCCGUUUUGAGUCGAAAUGCAGAUCGAGUGGAGCAUUGAAGUCUGAUGAGCAAUCGCACAGGAACACGAGACUGAAAGUCUAUGAGUGUGCUGUGGGAGAACGUAGAAAAUAAUUUAUUCGGUGGUAUCCACUUGUGGACGAUGGGUUUGGGUAUAGAAUAAUAUAUAUUAAAAAAAAAAAAAAAGCUUAUUGUUAUGUAUAUAUGGUAGUUUUAAGGGUGGGUUAUAUGUUUUUUUGGUACGCUUGGGGGGUAUAAAUGAUUGUAUUCGUAUUUUGUAGUUGUCUUGUACCUUUUUAAGGUAGGUAUAUUCGAAAAUCAUUCAUCCAUUUUUCCUUAUUUAUAUUUAAUCUCUACUAUUUUUAUCUGUCUCCUUUCUUAGAAGGAAAAUAAAAUAUUUUUAUUGACAAUCAAAG